rnacentral:rRNA from 1 species
UAACAGGUUGAUAUUCCUGUACCCGUUGUUUUUGUUUGAGCAAUGGAGGGACGCAGGAGGCUAAGGAAUGCAGACGAUCGGAAAUGUCUGUCCAAACAGUAAGUCUGAAGAGGAGUCAAAUGCUUCUUUUCUUAAGGACAAGCUGUGAUGGGGAGGGAAAUAAUAGUACCGAAGUUCCUGAUGUCACACUGCCGAGAAAAGCUUCUAGUGAGAAAACAGCGGCCCGUACCGCAAACCGACACAGGUAGUCGAGGAGAGAAUCCUAAGGUGAGCGAGAGAACUCUCGUUAAGGAACUCGGCAAAAUGACCCCGUAACUUCGGGAGAAGGGGUGCUGAUCAUACGAUCAGCCGCAGUGAAUAGGCCCAAGCGACUGUUUAUCAAAAACACAGGUCUCUGCAAAAUCGUAAGAUGAAGUAUAGGGGCUGACGCCUGCCCGGUGCUGGAAGGUUAAGAGGAGUGCUUAGCGCAAGCGAAGGUACGAAUUGAAGCCCCAGUAAACGGCGGCCGUAACUAUAACGGUCCUAAGGUAGCGAAAUUCCUUGUCGGGUAAGUUCCGACCCGCACGAAAGGCGUAACGAUUUGGGCACUGUCUCAACGAGAGACUCGGUGAAAUUUUAGUACCUGUGAAGAUGCAGGUUACCCGCGACAGGACGGAAAGACCCCAUGGAGCUUUACUGUAGUUUGAUAUUGAGUGUCUGUACCGCAUGUACAGGAUAGGUAGGAGCCGUAGAAAUCGGAACGCUAGUUUCGAUGGAGGCGCUGGUGGGAUACUACCCCUGCGUUAUG